UUAGCUAGUUGGAGUGGUAAUGGCACCCCAAGGCUACGAUAGAUAGGGGUCCUGAGAGGGAGAUCCCCCACACUGGUACUGAGACAGGGACCAGACUCCUACGGGAGGCAGCAGUGAGGAAUAUUGGUCAAUGGUCGGAAGACUGAACCAGCCAUGCCGCGUGCAGGAAGACGGCCUUAUGGGUUGUAAACUGCUUUUGCAAGGGAAGAAUAAGCUCUACGAGUAGAGUGAUGACGGUACUUUGCGAAUAAGCAUCGGCUAACUCCGUGCCAGCAGCCGCGGUAAUACGGAGGAUGCGAGCGUUAUCCGGAAUCAUUGGGUUUAAAGGGUCUGUAGGCGGGUUGUUAAGUCAGGGGUGAAAGUUUGCGGCUUAACCGUAAAAUUGCCUUUGAUACUGGCUAUCUUGAAUUAUUGUGAAGUUGUUAGAAUGUGUAGUGUAGCGGUGAAAUGCAUAGAUAUUACACAGAAUACCGAUUGCGAAGGCAGAUGACUAACAAUAGAUUGACGCUGAGAGACGAAAGCGUGGGGAGCGAACAGGAUUAGAUACCCUGGUAGUCCACGCUGUAAACGAUGGAUACUAGCUGUUUGGCAUUAUAGUUGAGUGGCUAAGCGAAAGUGAUAAG
rnacentral:rRNA from 1 species